AAACUUUCAACAACGGAUCUCUUGGUUCUGGCAUCGAUGAAAAACGCAGCGAAAUGCGAUAAGUAAUGUGAAUUGCAGAAUUCAGUGAAUCAUCGAAUCUUUGAACGCACAUUGCGCCCGCCAGUAUUCUGGCGGGCAUGCCUGUUCGAGCGUCAUU
rnacentral:rRNA from 4 species